GUACUCUCACACUCUCUGAUCCUUUGGAUUUGGGGAGCGGUGGACUUGGGUGCUUGCUGCUUCCUUGUGGCUCACCUGAAAUGCAUCAGUGCAUCUCUUGAUUGGACAUAGUACGGCGUGAUAAGUGUCUUCGCCGGCACCUCAUAAGAGGGUGGCUGAUCGGGAGCUCUGUGCUUUCAAACCGUCUCAGGACAGUAUUUGAUA
rnacentral:misc_RNA from 1 species